rnacentral:tRNA from 1 species
AGAGAUGUAGCUCUGUUGGUAGAGCACUUGCCUUGAACACAUCAAGCUGUGGGUUCGAUCCCCAGCGUCACAU